GGUGGAUUCUUGAUAACAUUUUAUUGUAUAAGCAAUAGGUUCUUCUCUCCCAUGCAUUUGUAGUCGUGGAUAGAUCUAUAAAUUUUGGAAGUGGUACACAUUUUGGUAUUGUCUAAUGUCAAUAUUUUGGACAAUGCUAGUGUCUAACAUGUUAUGAUGUGUUAUGCAUGAGUGGUAUCAUUUUGAAGAUCACCCAAGCUAAGUUCUUUAUUAUACUUUCUGUACUUGCAAGUCAGCUUAUGUAAUCUCCUAUGUAGCAUAUCAUAAUAAUGUUUGUGGA
rnacentral:lncRNA from 1 species